rnacentral:misc_RNA from 1 species
AAGUCGUAACAAGGUUUCCGUAGGUGAACCUGCGGAAGGAUCAUUAAAAAAAAACGAAAAAAAACCUCUUUAUUAUCAAAAUUCAAAUAAAAUUUUGCCAAUACACCCCCAAUAGUGUUUCUUAUAAAAACAAAAACUUCUAUCUGAAAAUGAUUCCAGAAAAGGGAGAAAAGGAAAAGACAAAGAGAUUCUCACUUUUACUAGUGUGGAGUUUUUAGUAUUUUCCAAUCUCAUUCUGAUCUGGGGUACUUUUCAGAAAGAUUAACUCUUUAAUACCCCAAUCAAAUCUCUAUUUAAUGAGAUUUGCUUGAAUAAACAAAACAAAACAAAAAAAAACAAAAUAGUUUUGACAAACAAAACAAAUAAAAAAUCGUAGCACAACUUAUAACGAUGGAUGACUAGGUUCUCGC